rnacentral:rRNA from 1 species
UACGGGGGGAGCAAGCGUUGUUCGGAUUUACUGGGCGUAAAGGGCGCGUAGGCGGUCAGCACAAGUCAGUUGUGAAAUCUCCGGGCUUAACUCGGAAAGGUCAACUGAUACUGUGCGACUAGAGUGCAGAAGGGGCAACUGGAAUUCUCGGUGUAGCGGUGAAAUGCGUAGAUAUCGAGAGGAACACCUGCGGCGAAGGCGGGUUGCUGGGCUGACACUGACGCUGAUGCGCGAAGGCGUGGGGAGCGAACGGG